UCCACGGAUAAGAACGGCAAACACUUCAUUUUCUUGUCUAAAAUGUCCAUUUGUAGGCCAUUUCAAGUUGGCAGAUUUUCCAAAAGCCUGAUAAUGGUUCUAGUAACACAUGUGUUGCAAUGGGAGACAAUGAGACAAACUGAUGUCAUAGUAUCAAUCAUAUGUCUAGAUAAAGUAAAAGUGGAAAUUACUUCAGUCAAGCCACUUAUGAAAGGGUAGAAAAUACCAUUGGCCAUCAGAGUUAUAUUAUUUUGCCAAAUUGUAGAACAAAUCAUGGAACCUCUACUAGUAAACUCCCACUUUGGUGUUUUCACAAUCAUCCUUAAAAAAGUAUCCAUGGAACACGAACUCACCCAUCCAAAAGUGCCAGUCAACAAGGUAACAGGAGAAACCAAAAUGGUCUCGGUAUCACUCUGAACAUUUCUAGUUAGGAAUGAAUUCGUUAGGAACCACCAAUCAGGACAAUGAAGUGAGAAUUCAAGGUACACCUUGUUCCCAAUACCAAGGGAUUCGAAUGCAUAAAGAAACACAUCCAGGGUACAACGUUCCCUAAUUUCAACAAGCAGAAAGUUAGGAACCGAUUUAGUAAUCUCCAUCCAAUGGUGCGGAUCAAGUGAAAGGUCAGGCACAUAUGUUUGGGCCAGUUCUCUCUUCAGCAUUUUGUCAAACACAUCAAAUAUGUUUCUUCGGCUCCCACAGGAAUGAAACAUAAUCAUGUCAACGGUCAUAUGGUGUGUAAGAAAUUCCAAAUGCCACCGUGCAUUUUUCAGUGGAGAAUGCAAUAUGGGUACCUGACAAAAGAGGGCCUUGUCAGAUUCUUUUGGUCGGGGAACUCGGUGAGCAAUCUGAAUAAAAUCUUCCUUAGGAGAGAGAUCUUCAAUCGCAGGAGUAGGGUUACCCAAUGGUGGCACAACUCGACUGCCAUUGCAGCUAGUCUGAGAGCCACCCUUCAAGCGAGAUGCGGUAACAUCGUUAAUCAGCACGGUAUUGACGAGACCAUCAGUGCGACAGUAGGAGCGCAAAGUUGAUCCUACAGAGGAGGAGGAAAAAUUCGAAGAGUUAUUGGACUGUCGGGAGCCAAGGACCUUUGGCUUAGGCUUCCUCUUCAUCUCCACGGAAGAAAUUGGUUGCAGAACAUGCUUGAUUGGCGUAGAAGCAUGGCCAAAACGAGUCGUUGUGCGGGAGCCCUCAACCGUUACGGAAGCCCGGGUUCUGGACGGAGUUGCCAUUGCUGUCAACAACGGAGAUGUCAAAAGCAACGGUGGAACACGAUGGUGUCUUAGCUGCGGUGGUGCAGGUGAUGGAAUUUGAGAUGGAAGAUGUGGUGCGGUUUGAAGAUAGCCCAUGGGCACUGUGGGAGAAAACCCAAUUUCCGGCAAAAUUGAGGGAAUCAAAAUGGUUGACAAGGAGCAAGGAGCCUUCGUAACUGACUCCAAAUGCGGAAUGGAGGUCAGUGGUGGCGAGUAUAUGAGCGACCUCGGGUAAGGGUUUGACGGCGUCGAUUCAAGUGCAUGGAAAAGGUUCAAUCCAAGCAUUGAAUCCAAACCCUCCAAUUGAGACUCUAUCUCGUCUUCACCUUCCAUAGGCUGAGUUUGCAACCUGUCUUGGCAAACAGGCACAGAAGACACGGAUUCCGUAACACGCUGAACCUGCUUGUCCAGACUCGCAUGAUGAAAAAUCAGCUCGAGCGAUGCCUUUGUGAACUCCAUGAUGGUGGGUGUGGACGUCGUCGGCCCCUGUAAGUCUGGAGCUGGAAUGGUCAUGGGCGAAUUGGGAGGGGUCGAGUGGGCGUGGGUGAAAUGAGGGCCGUGGAUUGGUGGAGGGGGUGGGUAGUGGUGGGAGGAAUGUGGGUCAGAGUCAAAUGGAUGGAAAACAGAGCCGCUGGAAGACUGAGGUAAAUAUCUGGAGGUGGGGAAAUGACAAACGGGAUGGGAAGAGGAGUGGAAUGGCGGCGUGGUAGGAGAGGGGGAUGAAGGACCAGCAGUUAAAAGGGUCCUCGGGUGGGAGAUGGCGAUGGGCUGUGAUGGAGAAGUACUCCAUGUGGGCUGAGGAAGGGUGGGGGGUUGGGUUUUUAGACAACGGAGCUCCUCAAGACAAGCCUGUUGGACCUGCUCAUGCUGAGCAUCGAGGAUGGCCAGAUCUGUGAGAGAGUGUUGCAGAUCGGUGAGUUGGUGCUCCAGCUCAACCUGACGGACGUUCAUCAUCGUGACCUUGUCACGUAGGGUCUGGAUUUGAGUGAGGAUUUGCUCUUGCGGAAAUUGCCGGUCAAAUACCGCAUUCGAAACGUCGGCCACAGAAACCGGUGUCGAGCGCUUGCCCAUGGAAGCACACCUGGGCUCUGGAUACCAG
rnacentral:lncRNA from 1 species